rnacentral:rRNA from 1 species
GACGAACCGUGCGAACGUUGUUCGGAUUCACUGGGCUUAAAGGGCGCGUAGGCGGAUCAUCAAGUCGGGGGUGAAAUCUUUCCGCUCAACGGGAAAAGUGCCCUCGAUACUGAGGAUCUCGAGGGAGGUAGGGGCAUGCGGAACUUCCGGUGGAGCGGUGAAAUGCGUAGAUAUCGGAAGGAACGCCGGUGGCGAAAGCGGCGUGCUGGACCUCUUCUGACGCUGAGGCGCGAAAGCUAGGGGAGCAAACGGG